rnacentral:rRNA from 1 species
AGUGAACGCUGGCGGCAGGCCUAACACAUGCAAGUCGAACGGCAGCGGACCUUCGGGUGCCGGCGAGUGGCGAACGGGUGAGUAAUAUAUCGGAACGUACCUUUCAGUGGGGGAGUAACGUAGCGAAAGUUAACGCUAAUACCGCAUAUUCUGUGAGCAGGAAAGACAGGGGAGUCGCAAGACCUUGCGCUGAUUGAGCGGCCGAUAUCAGAUUAGCUAGUUGGUGAGGUAAAGGACUCACCAAGGACGACGAUCUGUAGCGGGUCGUGAGAGGAUGAUCCGCCACACUGGAACUGAGACACGGUCCA